rnacentral:rRNA from 1 species
UACGAAGGGGGACUAGCGUUGUUCGGAAUCACUGGGCGUAAAGCGCACGUAGGCGGCUUUGUAAGUUAGAGGUGAAAGCCCGGGGCUCAACUCCGGAAUUGCCUUUAAGACUGCAUCGCUAGAAUUGUGGAGAGGUAAGUGGAAUUCCGAGUGUAGAGGUGAAAUUCGUAGAUAUUCGGAAGAACACCAGUGGCGAAGGCGACUUACUGGACACAUAUUGACGCUGAGGUGCGAAAGCGUGGGUAGCAAACAGG